GACGAACGCUGGCGGCGUGCCUAAUACAUGCAAGUAGAACGCUGAAGGAGGAGCUUGCUUCUCUGGAUGAGUUGCGAACGGGUGAGUAACGCGUAGGUAACCUGCCUGGUAGCGGGGGAUAACUAUUGGAAACGAUAGCUAAUACCGCAUAAGAGUAGAUGUUGCAUGACAUUUGCUUAAAAGGUGCAAUUGCAUCACUACCAGAUGGACCUGCGUUGUAUUAGCUAGUUGGUGAGGUAACGGCUCACCAAGGCGACGAUACAUAGCCGACCUGAGAGGGGGAUCGGCCACACUGGGACUGAGACACGGCCCAGACUCCUACGGGAGGCAGCAGUAGGGAAUCUUCGGCAAUGGACGGAAGUCUGACCGAGCAACGCCGCGGGAGUGAAGAAGGGUUUCGGAUCGUAAAGCUCUGUUGUAAGAGAAGAACGAGUGUGAGAGUGGAAAGUUCACACUGUGACGGUAUCUUACCAGAAAGGGACGGCUAACUACGUG
rnacentral:rRNA from 1 species